CGCCCUUGUGCCAGCAGCCGCGGUAAUACGUAGGUGGCAAGCGUUAUCCGGAUUUAUUGGGCGUAAAGCGAGCGCAGGCGGUUUGAUAAGUCUGAUGUGAAAGCCUUUGGCUUAACCAAAGAAGUGCAUCGGAAACUGUCAGACUUGAGUGCAGAAGAGGACAGUGGAACUCCAUGUGUAGCGGUGGAAUGCGUAGAUAUAUGGAAGAACACCAGUGGCGAAGGCGGCUGUCUGGUCUGCAACUGACGCUGAGGCUCGAAAGCAUGGGUAGCGAACAGGAUUAGAUACCCUGGUAGUCCAUGCCGUAAACGAUGAGUGCUAGGUGUUGGACAGUGCCGCAGCUAACGCAUUAAGCACUCCGCCUGGGGAGUACGACCGCAAGGUUGAAACUCAAAGGAAUUGACGGGGGCCCGCACAAGCGUGGAGCAUGUGGUUUAAUUCGAAGCUACGCGAAGAACCUUACCAGGUCUUGACAUCCAGGUGGUGCAUGGUCGUCGUCAGCUCGUGUCGUGAGAUGUUGGGUUAAGUCCCGCAACGAGCGCAACCCUUGUUACUAGUUGCCACUCUAGUGAGACUGCCGGUGACAAACCGGAGGAAGGUGGGGACGACGUCAGAUCAUCAUGCCCCUUAUGACCUGGGCUACACACGUGCUACAAUGGACGGUACAACGAGUCGCGAACUCGCGAGGGCAAGCUAAUCUCUUAAAACCGUUCUCAGUUCGGACUGUAGCUG
rnacentral:rRNA from 1 species